GAUCCAUAAAAAAAAAAAAAAGCAAAAACAAUGCUUUUAAGAGUUUUGCAUUGGAAUAAAAUCUCCAUAAUCUUCUCUAUCUUGUAGCUAUACCUGCAAAGAGCAAGAAAUAUGCCAGUCCUUGCCCUCCCAUUGCUUUCAGUGCAAGUAUAAUUAAUAUUUACUAAACCUCUGCAGGUCUCACAAAUAUUUUUUCCAUGAAAAAACAUGAAUUAAACUACUCAUGCAAGUUAAUAGAAUUCUGUGAAUGAAACUAUUGACUGCCAAGUCUGUCAUAUAUGAACAGUAGCAGAUAAGCUCUCUCAUAGAAAGCUACAAGAGUGGAAUAGGGUACAGCAAGUGGUUUAGUGAUCUUUUUUCCACAACCGUGCAUCUGGAACCCUAAGUUUGGUUCCAUGCUUUAGGAUGGCUUUUGUACGAUACAUCAUGUAUUGCAUCUAGGGAGCCUAGAAUAUAUCUUACAAAGGAAAUGAUGCAUUUUAGCUGACACUUUUUAAUCUAGCACAAUGAGUUAAUCACAUUUGGUACAUAUAUUCAAUAUAUACAUAUACACCCUUAGUCUGUGACUAUACCCAACCAUCUAUGCCUAGACCUUAACUCACAUAAUGAAAUACUAAUAAAAUCUUUUUCAAAACAUUUGCAUUAUGAUUGACUACCUGUAACAUAUUUCACGUGUACACCCCUUAAAUGGCCUUUAACUACCAAUAGAGAAGCAUAUAUAUUAUAUACUAUGGAAUUCUCUGAAGCAUAUGUGCUCAAAUUAGAAAUAACUUCGUAUAAAUAGCUUAAUUCAAUAAUUAAUACAUUUAAAUAAUUUACACAACAUUUAAUAAUAAUAAUAAUAACAAUAAUAAUCAUCUUAAUAUCCAAGCUUCAAAAUGUCAUCUAGCUUAAGUGACCAUGUGUCCCUCCCCACUUACACAGUUGCUUACAUUUUCCUGUUUCAAGCUAUUUAUAUAUGCUUACACUUCAUGCAGCAUGCUGUGCAUAAGUUCUUGUGAAUAAACGCUUAUACAAAUUACCAACUAGAUCAAUGUAUGAUUGAUUAACAACACCUAACAUAUGUUUUACAAAAUGCAUUCAAAAUGUAUAAUGUAUUAUUUUAUCUCACAAGCUAAAAUUAGUGGAAGAUCAUAUAUUUUGCAGUCAUAUUAAAAUCUGAAUUGUUGCAUAGCCCUCUUUCUCCAAACAAUUGAUUUUAAUAUUUUAAUUACUACAUUCGAACAAGAAACUCAAGAUAAAUGCAGAUUCAAAAUAAUAUUAGGAAUGAAUCAAUAUCUCCUCACAUUGAAUGUCAGUUCAUAAGUAAAAGUAGUAAAUUCGCUG